rnacentral:rRNA from 1 species
GAUGAACGCUGGCGGCGUGCCUAAUACAUGCAAGUCGAGCGAACAGAUGAGGAGCUUGCUCCUCUGACGUUAGCGGCGGACGGGUGAGUAACACGUGGAUAACCUACCUAUAAGACUGGGAUAACUUCGGGAAACCGGAGCUAAUACCGUAUAAUAUAUUGAACCGCAUGGUUCAAUAGUGAAAGACGGUUUUGCUGUCACUUAUAGAUGGAUCCGCGCCGCAUUAGCUAGUUGGUAAGGUAACGGGUUACCAAGGCAACGAUGCGUAGCCGACCUGAGAGGGUGAUAGGCCACACUGGAACUGAGACACGGUCCAGACUCCUACGGGAGGCAGCAGUAGGGAAUCUUACGCAAUGGGCGAAAGCCUGACAGAGCAACGCCGCGUGAGUGAUGAAGGUCUUCGGAUCGUAAAACUCUGUUAUUAGGGAAGAACAAAUGUGUAAGUAACUAUGCACGUCUUGACGGUACCUAAUCAGAAAGCCACGGCUAACUACGUG